rnacentral:rRNA from 1 species
CUACGGGGCGCUGCAGCAGGGAAUUUUGCACAAUGGGCGCAAGCCUGAUGCAGCGACGCCGCGUGAGGGAUGAAUGCCUUAGGGUUGUAAACCUCUUUCAGGAGGGACGAAGCGAAAGUGACGGUACCUCCAGAAGAAGCCCCGGCCAACUACGUGCCAGCAGCCGCGGUAAUACGUAGGGGGCAAGCGUUGUCCGGAUUCAUUGGGCGUAAAGAGCUCGUAGGCGGCUCAGCAAGUCGGCCGUGAAAGCCCGAGGCUCAACCUUGGGAGGCCGGUCGAAACUGCUGUGGCUAGGGUUCGGUAGAGGAGAGUGGAAUUCCCGGUGUAGCGGUGAAAUGCGCAGAUAUCGGGAGGAACACCAGUAGCGAAGGCGGCUCUCUGGGCCGACACCGACGCUGAGGAGCGAAAGCUAGGGGAGCAAACAGGAUUAGAUACCCUAGUAGUC